rnacentral:rRNA from 1 species
GAUGAACGCUGACAGAAUGCUUAACACGUGCAAGUCGACUCGAGUCUUCGGACUUGGGUGGCGCACGGGUGAGUAACGCGUAAAGAACUUGCCUCUUAGACUGGGACAACAUCUGGAAACGGAUGCUAAUACCGGAUAUUAUGGUUUCUUCGCAUGGAGGAAUCAUGAAAGCUAGAUGCGCUAAGAGAGAGCUUUGCGUCCCAUUAGCUGGUUGGUGAGGUAACGGCCCACCAAGGCAAUGAUGGGUAGCCGGCCUGAGAGGGUGAACGGCCACAAGGGGACUGAGACACGGCCCUUACUCCUACGGGAGGCAGCAGUGGGGAAUAUUGGACAAUGGACCACAAGUCUGAUCCAGCAAUUCUGUGUGCACGAUGACGUUUUUCGGAGUGUAAAGUGCUUUCAGUCGGGAAGAAGUCAGUGACGGUACCGACAGAAGAAGCGACGGCUAAAUACGUGCCAGCAGCCGCGGUAAUACGUAUGUCGCAAGCGUUAUCCGGAUUUAUUGGGCGUAAAGCGCGUCUAGGCGGCAAGGAAAGUCUGAUGUGAAAAUGCGGAGCUCAACUCCGUAUGGCGUUGGAAACUGCCUUACUAGAGUACUGGAGAGGUAGGCGGAACUACAAGUGUAGAGGUGAAAUUCGUAGAUAUUUGUAGGAAUGCCGAUGGGGAAGCCAGCCUACUGGACAGAUACUGACGCUAAAGCGCGAAAGCGUGGGUAGCAAACAGG